AUGCACUCCUCCGGAAGCAUCAUUGUCCUCGAUGUCAGCUUCAACCGUCUCAACGGGCUGCUGCCCGAGCUGCCAUAUUUGUUUACCACCGAGCGGCCUCUGCAGGUACUCAACAUCUCAAGCAACCAGUUCAGCUCAAAAUUUCCAUCAGCCACAUGGAAGGUGAUGAAAAAUCUGAUCGUGAUCAACGCUAGCAAUAACAGCUUCACUGGGCACAUAUCGUCUUCUCUUUGCAUUGGCUCGCCAUCUUUGGCUUUGCUUGACCUCUGUCACAACCAAUUGAAUGGCUACAUUCCGAACACACUGGGUAAUUGCUCCAAGCUCAAAGUGCUCAAGGCUGGCAACAACCACCUAAGUGGGAUUCUCCCUGUUGAAAUCUUCCGUGCAACCCCGCAAAAAAAAACAACUCGCUGGAGUACCUCUCCUUUCCCAACAAUGGUUUGCAAGGAGAACUUGACAGAGCACACAUGGUCAAACUCAGUAAUCUAG
rnacentral:rRNA from 1 species